rnacentral:sRNA from 1 species
UAAUGUUUGCCAGACCCUGUAAAGGGGGG